rnacentral:rRNA from 1 species
UGGGGGUGGAUUAGUGGCGAACGGGUGAGUAACACGUGGGCAAUCUGCCCUUCACUCUGGGACAAGCCCUGGAAACGGGGUCUAAUACCGGAUACCACUCCUGCCUGCAUGGGCGGGGGUUGAAAGCUCCGGCGGUGAAGGAUGAGCCCGCGGCCUAUCAGCUUGUUGGUGGGGUAAUGGCCCACCAAGGCGACGACGGGUAGCCGGCCUGAGAGGGCGACCGGCCACACUGGGACUGAGACACGGCCCAGACUCCUACGGGAGGCAGCAGUGGGGAAUAUUGCACAAUGGGCGAAAGCCUGAUGCAGCGACGCCGCGUGAGGGAUGACGGCCUUCGGGUUGUAAACCUCUUUCAGCAGGGAAGAAGCGAAAGUGACGGUACCUGCAGAAGAAGCGCCGGCUAACUACGUGCCAGCAGCCGCGGUAAUACGUAGGGCGCAAGCGUUGUCCGGAAUUAUUGGGCGUAAAGAGCUCGUAGGCGGCUUGUCACGUCGGAUGUGAAAGCCCGAGGCUUAACCUCGGGUCUGCAUUCGAUACGGGCUAGCUAGAGUGUGGUAGGGGAGAUCGGAAUUCCUGGUGUAGCGGUGAAAUGCGCAGAUAUCAGGAGGAACACCGGUGGCGAAGGCGGAUCUCUGGGCCAUUACUGACGCUGAGGAGCGAAAGCGUGGGGAGCGAACAGGAUUAGAUACCCUGGUAGUCCACGCCGUAAACGUUGGGAACUAGGUGUUGGCGACA